UCCACGAGGAAAUAACUCAGUGGGGAAUGAGAAAGGUUAAACUAUUUCUGCCUAAGGGGUCGACACUCUACAAUUGAAAGAGGACAGACACACCAAAUCUGCACGGAGAAAUAAUGUCACCAUAGCAGGGGAUCAGAAAAUAAGGAAUCAAAUGCAAUAACAUGCAUAAUGAACUAUCUGAUGUAUGAAUGUGCAUGUAUA
rnacentral:lncRNA from 1 species